GUAACACGUGUGCAACCAACCCCGUACCGGGAGAUAACCCGCGGAAACGUGGACUAACACCCCAUAACACCUUUCCCCCGCAUGGGGGGGAGUUUAAAACCCCGGUGGUACGGGACGGGCACGCGCGACAUUAGGUAGUUGGCGGGGUAACGGCCCACCAAGCCGACGAUGUCUAGGGGUUCUGAGAGGAAGGUCCCCCACACUGGAACUGAGACACGGUCCAGACUCCUACGGGAGGCAGCAGUGAGGAAUAUUGGUCAAUGGGCGAGAGCCUGAACCAGCCAAGUCGCGUGAGGGAAGAAUGGUCUAUGGCCUGUAAACCUCUUUUGUCAAGGAAGAAUAAGCGGCACGAGUGCCACCUUGCCAGUACUUGACGAAUAAGCAUCGGCUAACUCCGUGCCAGCAGCCGCGGUAAUACGGGGGAUGCGAGCGUUAUCCGGAUUUAUUGGGUUUAAAGGGCGCGUAGGCGGGACGGCAAGUCAGCGGUAAAAGACUGCAGCUAAACUGUAGCACGCCGUUGAAACUGUCGACCUGGAGACGAGACGAGGGAGGCGGAACAAGUGAAGUAGCGGUGAAAUGCAUAGAUAUCACUUGGAACCCCGAUAGCGAAGGCAGCUUCCCAGGCUCGAUCUGACGCUGAUGCGCGAGAGCGUGGGUAGCGAACAGGAUUAGAUACCCUGGUAGUCCACGCCGUAAACGAUGCUAACUGGAUCUUGGCGAUACACGGCCAGGGUUCAAGCGAAAGUAUUAAGUGAGCCACCUGGGGAGUACGUCGGCAACGAUGAAACUCAAAGGAAUUGACGGGGGCCCGCACAAGCGGAGGAACAUGUGGUUUAAUUCGAUGAUACGCGAGGAACCUUACCCGGGUUUAAAUGCGGGUUGCAUGAGGUGGAAACACCUCUUUCCCUCGGGACUACCUGCAAGGUGCUGCAUGGUUGUCGUCAGCUCGUGCCGUGAGGUGUCGGGUUAAGUCCCAUAACGAGCGCAACCCCUAUCGCCAGUUGCCAUAGGUUCAAGCCGGGCACUCUGUCGAGACUGCCACCGUAAGGUGCGAGGAAGGCGGGGAUGACGUCAAAUCAGCACGGCCCUUACACCCGGGGCGACACACGUGUUACAAUGGCCGGUACAGAGGGCAGCCACGGGGCGACCCGGAGCGAAUCUCUAAAGCCGGUCGUAGUUCGGACUGGAGUCUGCAACCCGACUCCACGAAGUUGGAUUCGCUAGUAAUCGCGCAUCAGC
rnacentral:rRNA from 1 species